rnacentral:rRNA from 1 species
CUAGUACGGGAGGCAGCAGUGGGGAAUAUUGCACAAUGGGCGAAAGCCUGAUGCAGCGACGCCGCGUGAGGGAUGGAGGCCUUCGGGUUGUAAACCUCUUUCGCUCAUGGUCAAGCCGCAACGUUUGGUUGUGGUGAGGGUAGUGGGUAAAGGAAGCGCCGGCUAACUACGUGCCAGCAGCCGCGGUAAUCUAG